UGCAACCUGCUUACUGUAUAAUUUGUCGGUUGUAUGACCUUCUAGUACUAUUUCCUUCUGAAACAAUUGAUACAUGCAUGAUUGGUGUACUGUGAAAUAUUUAUCAAUGCCUUGUGAACAUGAACCAGAGCAAACUAAUCCAAGUAAGGAAAGAAAAGCAUCUGUCUAGUCUAAUGCUAGGAGUUCGUGCUGCAGUAGUUUCAACAGUUCUGUUUUAAUUAAACACUCUGACUGUCUUGGUUUGGGUUUCUUAUAUGCCAGUCAGCUGGGAACAUUAUUGCUUUUAUUCAUGUCAGUAGAUGAAAUGGUUUAGUUUUGUUCUGUUUACUGCAACCCUUUCUGAAAUUACAUGCAUUAUUUGCUUGGAUUUAAUCUUUUUACAAUUUUUGCAGUUAAAGGAUAUUGUGCAAGAAUCUUAGGCUUGUGAAGAGCCUCAUUGAUGUCUAGAACCAAUCUGAGCAUGUGUUGCAUACAUUUGGACUGCAUGCCUGCUUACAAAAUUAAGAUGCUGUUAACAAGGUUGUUGAUAAUGCAGCAAGACACAUCCCAAUCAAUCCACCAAGAAAACAAGGUAGUGUACAUCACUCUUUGUUGAAGAGGACAAAGACCAUUGAAAGGAAGUAUUGUUAUUAUUACUCAGUAUUUCUCUUUGGAAAUGUAUAGGGACCAUGGAUUGACUCAUAAUUGCUUUCUUUUGUGUGAAUGUUUUGAGACCUUUAAAUAUGCUUCUACUGUUUGUCUUGCUUCUUUGAUUAAGCUUAGGAAACUAUAAACUAGUGUACCAUCAAAGAAUCUUAAGGAAAUUUAGUGGAGAAUGAUGAGUUGUUGGAAUGUGUAUGAUGAUGUAUACUAUUAUUUAUUAUGUUGGAGAUGAUGUUGUAAACUAUUAAUUAUUAUGUUGGAGAAGAUGUUGUAAACUAUUAAUUAUUAUGUGGAGGUUGUG